rnacentral:rRNA from 1 species
CCGGGAACUCAAAGGAGACUGCCAGUGAUAAACUGGAGGAAGGUGGGGAUGACGUCAAGUCAUCAUGGCCCUUACGACCAGGGCUACACACGUGCUACAAUGGCGCAUACAAAGAGAAGCGACCUCGCGAGAGCAAGCGGACCUCAUAAAGUGCGUCGUAGUCCGGAUUGGAGUCUGCAACUCGACUCCAUGAAGUCGGAAUCGCUAGUAAUCGUGGAUCAGAAUGCCACGGUGAAUACGUUCCCGGGCCUUGUACACACCGCCCGUCACACCAUGGGAGUGGGUUGCAAAAGAAGUAGGUAGCUUAACCUUCGGGAGGGCGCUUACCACUUUGUGAUUCAUGACUGGGGUGAAGUCGUAACAAGGUAACCGUAGGGGAACCUGCGGUUGGAUCACCUCCUUACCUUAAAGAAGC